CCUACGGGCGGCACCAGUGGGGAAUAUUGGACAAUGGGGGGAACCCUGAUCCAGCCAUGCCGCGUGUGUGAAGAAGGCCUUUUGGUUGUAAAGCACUUUAAGCGAGGAGGAGGCUACCUAGAUUAAUACUUUAGGAUAGUGGACGUUACUCGCAGAAUAAGCACCGGCUAACUCUGUGCCAGCAGCCGCGGUAAUACAGAGGGUGCGAGCGUUAAUCGGAUUUACUGGGCGUAAAGCGUGCGUAGGCGGCCAAUUAAGUCAAAUGUGAAAUCCCCGAGCUUAACUUGGGAAUUGCAUUCAAUACUGGUUGGCUAGAGUAUGGGAGAGGAUGGUAGAAUUCCUGGUGUAGCGGUGAAAUGCGUAGAGAUCUGGAGGAAUACCGAUGGCGAAGGCAGCCAUCUGGCCUAAUACUGGCACUGAGGUGCGAAAGCAUGGGGAGCAAACAGGAUUAGAUACCCCGGUAGUC
rnacentral:rRNA from 1 species